ACUUAAAUAGCUUAAGUUAAAGCGUAAUAUUGAAGAUAUUAAUAUAGGUUUAUACCUUUUAAGUG
rnacentral:tRNA from 1 species